rnacentral:rRNA from 1 species
AUUCCAGCUCCAAUAGCGUAUACUAAAGUUGUUGCAGUUAAAAAGCUCGUAGUUGAAUUUCUGGGUGUGAUAGGCGGUCCGUGUGCAUAACAUGUGUACCUCCCUCUCAUGCCCAUCCUCGAAGUGAAUAUGCAUUGCCUUAACUGUGUCGUGUAUAGGACCUUCGUCAUUUACUGUGAGCAAAAUAGAGUGUUCAAAGCAGGCUUAUGCCGUUGAAUAUAUUAGCAUGGAAUAAUAAGAUAUGACUUCUGUCUAUUAUGUUGGUUUGCAUUCGGAAGUAAUGAUUAAUAGGGAUAGUUGGGGGUUUUCGUAUUCAAUUGUCAGAGGUGAAAUUCUUGGAUUUAUGGAAGACGAACUACUGCGAAAGCAUCAACCAAGGAUGUUUUCAUUA